rnacentral:rRNA from 1 species
CGUGGUGCCUCCUCCUCCCCUCUCCCCUCCCCCCUCCCACCUCAUUUCGUUGCGUCCGCCAAUCUUUGAAUCUACACUUUAGGGGCCCGAGUUGGACCCUUACGUAAACGGUGACAUACCCAUCUCACACAGUCUCCACCCAUCUUAAGGUGCACAUCGUCACUUUACGCAUAUAUUUCUCUCCUUAAGGCUACCGCUUCCGUCGGGGGACCCUAAUGUGACAGCAAGUACGACCUUUCGCACCCGAAGCCAGGUUAAUCUAAGGGACCAUCAGGUGCGGC